rnacentral:lncRNA from 1 species
UCUUUGGAUAAUAAAGAAAAGGAGAAAGAUAGUAAAGGAACUAGGCUUGCAUAUGUUGCACCUACAAUACCAAGACGACUAGCCAGUACAUCUGACAUUGAAGAGAAAGAAAACAGAGAUUCUUCAAGUUUGCGAACAAGUAGUUCAUAUACAAGGAGAAAAUGGGAAGAUGAUCUUAAAAAAAAUAGCUCAGUUAAUGAAGGAUCAACGUAUCAUAAAAGGUAAUAAUACUAUUCUUAAGCGGUUUUUAUGUAUUCAUUUAUAAAAAUAUGAGGCAAUUUGUUUGGAGCCCUCAGUUUAACAUCAUUUUAAACAAAUAUGUGUUUUUAUUAAAUACGAGUUUUUGUUGUUUAAAACUUACUCUAAACACAGGAUAUAUAUUUAAAGAUAGGUGAUAAUUUGUUAUGCCUAUUAUAUAAUUAAGCUUCAAAUAUUAUGAAAUGUUUUUUGGAUUGUUACAUAUUUAAAAGGAACUCCUUUAGAAGGAACUCCUUGACUAGAACAACUUAAACAGGCCAGUGUCUUAAUGGAUCUAGUUGUCAUUGUUGAUCUGGAAAGAUUUGGCUUGCCCUAGAACUCAGAGCUAUGGAAAUGCCUUCAGUUGGAAUGUUGGUAGUAUCAUAUUGAAGAG